rnacentral:lncRNA from 1 species
GACAGCGGGGGCGUGGGCAGCAGCUCGAACUUCUUCCAGAUGUCCUCCCCCGGGGGCGUCGAGUCGGGGCCGCCGAAGUAGAAGUCAUCUUCGUCCGGGUAGAAGCAGGGCUGCAGCGAGUCAAACUCAAGGUCUGGGUUCUUGCAGAUCAUCCCCGGCAUGGUGGACGCGGUGCAGCUCGGCAUCGGCUCGCCUCCUGGCCGGCGAAUGAGGGCUUCUUUCCGCUCCGCUCCUUUUAGUUAGGGGGGUGCUUCCUUCCCGUGGGGGGCGCGGAGGGCGGGGGCCCGCGCCAAUCUCCGACACUGCAACCGACAGACACACCAGGAGAGAGUUGGCAAGCGAAGCCUAAUGUGGGGAGGGGGGGGGCAGUGGGCGCCCCCUCUCACCCGGCUCGUCAGUCUCCCCUGCAAGCCCCCCACUCCGCCUGGUGCUCCCGAAGGUGGAGGAAGUUCUGGCUCUCGCUCUCUCCCUCCCUCCUUUUGUGUACAAGCUGUCUACGACUGGGGGUGGGAGGGGGCAUGCAGAUGCGGGGGGUGGUGGUGUGGCUCUGCAACUUUGGAAACUGCCAUUUCAUUCACACUCGGCAGUGCCUGGGGGGGCUGGCGGAGGGGGCCGCUCAAGGCUGCAGAAUCCUAGCUCUCUCCAGCUCCCCGACAACCCAGUUGCACCAUGUAGGUCCAGCUGCUCAAAGGAAGCCGGAGGCUCCAACCCAGCUACCGGCCAGAUGAUCUGGAGUACCCUCAGUCCCUCCUUUGUAAAAUUGCAACCUCGGGAGUGCAAAAGGUAGCGGGGGAUUUAGGAAACUUUGCAAAGGGAAAACGCCUUUCUCUCGACUGAGACCCAACGACGGGCACCCAAACCCCCUCCCCCCCCAUUAGAACAGACGCCCCUCAGCAAUCCAUCCGCUGCAAGCAGAGUCCUGCCAAUAGCUUAUUUUGAAUCUCUCUAACCCCACCCCCACUCUUACAAACCCCCCACAACGUCCUCUUCCUGGGAGAGGGGAGAGCCUGAACCCCAGUUCCCGGGAAUGGUGCAGGGUCCCCGGGAGAGCCGCGUCUCCUCGGGGCUGGAGCAGUCGUGACCCAGAUUACCACCGCGGCGGCCUCGCCCUAACCCCCCUCUCUUCUUCCUCCAGGGGCACCCUUUGGAGAACCCCAGCUUCGGGGUCGAGACGCACCCGCUCUCCGUCAGCUCAAACACGGAUAAAUGUUCUAGAGAAGGGCGAAAUUCUUUUCGAUGAAGCCAUUACACCCCUCCUGGCAAAGGCUGUAAAAAGGAUUAGGGCGGGUCUCUUCCACCCGGGGUGCCUUCGGGGCUGGAACUGGCUUUUCAGGGAAAACCCCGAGAUGGUUUUGUUUCGGAAGCAGCAACAGUCCCCCGAGGAUACUCGAGCGCCCUGUGCGCGAGCCGCGAUCCCGUCCGGGGCUUGCCUUCCCGCCGCGCUCGCCACCCGGGGGCCGCCGGGCAGUUUGCAACCCCAGCUCCUUACCUCCCGCCGGCUGCCGGGGAUCCAGAGGCGAUUCUGCGCGGGGGUCUCCGGGUGGCCUGGGGGUGGUGGUCCUCGGGUGGUUGCAGUCUGUGCGCGCUUGCGCCUGGCUAGCGCUAGCUCGGCUCCAACCCAGUUCCCAGGAGCCCCCCGCAUCCACCCAGCGCGUCCAGACAGAUGACUGUCACUGGCUGCGCUUUGAAGCUCGGGGGAUAUUAUUAACUGAAAAAUCUGACACACCCGGGGGGCGGGGAGAGAAGGGGGCUGCGGCACAGACAAGGGGGAGGGAGAAAGGCAGAGGAAAGCGGCUUUACCCCGCCCUCUUGAUUUCCAUAAAAAUCAGGGGAGGCGCCAAGGCUUUCGCGCCAAAAGCCACUCGCUUUUCUUCUUUGCAGAGAGGAGGCUGCAAAGCUGGGAAAGCCCGGGGUGUGCUCCUCCCUCGCUUUUAGACCCCCGGGCUUGCACCCGGUGCACUCUGCGAACCAGCUGCGCGCCGAGCGGUGCAAUGCAGCACCCACCCUGCGGGCCUGGCAGUUGCUUGGCAUUAAAAUA